UAAAGGGCCGUCGAAGACGUCGGCGUUGAUAGGUUGGGUGUGUAAGCGCUGUGAGGCGUUGAGCUAACCAAUACUAAUUGCCCGUGAGGCUUGACCAUAUAACACCCAAGCAAUU
rnacentral:rRNA from 1 species